rnacentral:miRNA from 14 species
UGCAUGUGUGUGCAUACGUGUGUGUGCAUGUGUGUGUGCGUGUGUGAGUGCAUGUGUGUGUGCACACCCAUGUGUGGUGUGCAUGUGUGUGUGUGGGUGUGAGUGCAUGUG